UCCCUGAUAGCUCAGUUGGUAGAGCGCCGGACUGUUAAUCCGUAGGUCCCUGGUUCGAGCCCAGGUCGGGGAG
rnacentral:tRNA from 1 species